GACGAACGCUGGCGGCGUGCUUAACACAUGCAAGUCGAACGGAAAGGCCCUGCUUUUGUGGGGUGCUCGAGUGGCGAACGGGUGAGUAACACGUGAGUAACCUGCCCUUGACUUUGGGAUAACUUCAGGAAACUGGGGCUAAUACCGGAUAGGAGCUCCUGCUGCAUGGUGGGGGUUGGAAAGUUUCGGCGGUUGGGGAUGGACUCGCGGCUUAUCAGCUUGUUGGUGGGGUAGUGGCUUUCCAAGGCUUUGACGGGUAGCCGGCCUGAGAGGGUGACCGGCCACAUUGGGACUGAGAUACGGCCCAGACUCCUACGGGAGGCAGCAGUGGGGAAUAUUGCACAAUGGGCGGAAGCCUGAUGCAGCAACGCCGCGUGCGGGAUGACGGCCUUCGGGUUGUAAACCGCCUUCGCCUGUGACGAAGCGUGAGUGACGGUAAUGGGUAAAGAAGCACCGGCUAACUACGUG
rnacentral:rRNA from 1 species